rnacentral:rRNA from 1 species
GCCCCACCACCAAAGCAUUCUCUGGUGUUGAAGGCCCUGCAAAGCAGCAUCGCGGUGGCGGAGCGUCGUUUGCGACGCCCAACACACAAAACAAGCGGUGAGUGCUUUGGGGUGGGGUGACUGCGUACCUUUUGUAUAAUGGGUCAGCGACUUAUAUUCUGUAGCAAGGUUAACCGUAUAGGGGAGCCGAAGGGAAACCGAGUCUUAACUGGGCGUUAAGUUGCAGGGUAUAGACCCGAAACCCGGUGAUCUAGCCAUGGGCAGGUUGAAGGUUGGGUAACACUAACUGGAGGACCGAACCGACUAAUGUUGAAAAAUUAGCGGAUGACUUGUGGCUGGGGGUGAAAGGCCAAUCAAACCGGGAGAUAGCUGGUUCUCCCCGAAAGCUAUUUAGGUAGCGCCUCGUGAACUCAUCUUCGGGGGUAGAGCACUGUUUCGGCUAGGGGGUCAUCCCGACUUACCAACCCGAUGCAAACUGCGAAUACCGAAGAAUGUUAUCACGGGAGACACACGGCGGGUGCUAACGUCCGUCGUGAAGAGGGAAACAACCCAGACCGCCAGCUAAGGUCCCAAAGUCACAGUUAAGUGGGAAACGAUGUGGGAAGGCUCAGACAGCCAGGAUGUUGGCUUAGAAGCAGCCAUCAUUUAAAGAAAGCGUAAUAGCUCACUGGUCGAGUCGGCCUGCGCGGAAGAUGUAACGGGGCUAAACUGUGCACCGAAGCUGCGGCAGCGACGCUUAUGCGUUGUUGGGUAGGGGAGCGUUCUGUAAGCCUGCGAAGGUGUCCUGUGAGGGAUGCUGGAGGUAUCAGAAGUGCGAAUGCUGACAUAAGUAACGAUAAUGCGGGUGAAAAGCCCGCUCGCCGGAAGACCAAGGGUUCCUGUCCAACGUUAAUCGGGGCAGGGUGAGUCGACCCCUAAGGCGAGGCCGAAAGGCGUAGUCGAUGGGAAACGGGUUAAUAUUCCCGUACUUGGUGUUACUGCGAAGGGGGGACGGAGAAGGCUAUGUUGGCCGGGCGACGGUUGUCCCGGUUUAAGCGUGUAGGCUGGUUUUCCAGGCAAAUCCGGAAAAUCAAG